GAUGAACGCUGGCGGCGUGCCUAAUACAUGCAAGUCGAGCGAACAGACGAGGAGCUUGCUCCUCUGACGUUAGCGGCGGACGGGUGAGUAACACGUGGAUAACCUACCUAUAAGACUGGGAUAACUUCGGGAAACCGGAGCUAAUACCGGAUAAUAUAUUGAACCGCAUGGUUCAAUAGUGAAAGACGGUUUUGCUGUCACUUAUAGAUGGAUCCGCGCCGCAUUAGCUAGUUGGUAAGGUAACGGCUUACCAAGGCAACGAUGCGUAGCCGACCUGAGAGGGUGAUCGGCCACACUGGAACUGAGACACGGUCCAGACGCCUACGGGAGGCAGCAGAAGGGAAUCUUCCGCAAUGGGCGAAAGCCUGACGGAGCAACGCCGCGUGAGAGAUGAAGGUCUUCGGAUCGUAAAACUCUGUUAUUAGGGAAGAACAAAUGUGUAAGUAACUAUGCACGUCUUGACGGUACCUAAUCAGAAAGCCACGGCUAACUACGUG
rnacentral:rRNA from 1 species